GCCUUAGUGAAAGCGACUGAACUAACUAGCUAAAUCAAAAAUAAAAUUAUAUUUAUUUAUAAUUUUAUUUUUGUUGUGUAUUUAUAAUUUUAUUUUUUUCACUAAGAAAUAAGUCAAAUUAUAAUAGGAUAUCCUUAAUUGUUUAAGUUUAAUUCUAAACUAACAUUAAGUUUAAUAUUUUCUAGAAAUAGUGGCGGAUAAGUUACUUCUAUUAGACCCGAAGCUAGGUGAUCUUCCCAAGACCAGAUUAUAAUGGAUCGAACGGGUGAAUGUAGCAUUAUUCUCCGAAGAGUUUUGGGAAGCGGUGAAAUGCCAAUCUGACCUAGUGAUAGCUGGUUUUCUACGAAACAUAUGAAAGUAUGACAUCUUUACAAAAUUUAUGGUGGUACAGCACUGAGUUCCAAACGCAAUAUUAGAUAAAAUAUUAGUGAAUUUAAUAAAUAUCUACCGAUAUUCUUAAAUUUGCGGCUAAUAUAGUUCAGGUUGAGGGGACCUCGAAAAUCUUACCAAUGGAAGAGAAUCUCGAAAGGACAUAAAUUGAUGAAAGAUAUUCAGACUGCUCAUGAGUAAAGUUGAGUAGUCAAGACGGAAACAGCCGAGAACACGAAUACAAGGUCCCAAAUGAUUAUUAAGUGAAAUUAAGGAAGUAAUAUAUUGCAUGCAGUUGUAAAGUAAGCUUGAACACACUACUUUCGAGCUACUAAAAAAAUUAAGCUAUGUGCAAGAAACCCCUAAAGAUAUAAAGACUUAAUUAUAAGUAAAAUAUUUAUAUAUAACAAAAUGGGCUACUUGCAGGAAAUUCUCAUUUCUUCAACGACUAUACGCUUAAUAUUAAUAAUAUGUUUACAUAUGAUAAUAAUGACAUAGUCUUUCAAUUAUGAAAGUAAUUGACAAAAUAGAUAAGCGCUGGCGCGAUAAAAUUAAAAAAAAAAUAUUUGUUUUCAUAAGUUAUUAGCAAAGUAACUAGAAGGUUGUUGGUUCACCUGGUUUAAAUACCCAUAGUCAAUAAAGAAGGCUAGCACCCUAAACUCUAUUAAAAUAGUGAAAAGUUUUUAAUUCCAAAAUUUUUAUUUUGGCGCAAAUAUUAAUAAUAAAAUAAAAUAAGAAAAAUUAAUACAGCUACAAACAAUCUAAAAAAUAUUAUGAACCAAGAAUUUAUUAUGUCACCUGGAUAUAUAACUGGUUUAACACAAACGGAUGGUUCUUUCUUUUGUACUGUAUCAUUAUCAGCUAAAGCUCUUUUUGGUCUUCAAUUUAGACCUAAAUUUACUAUAACAACUGAUUUAGAUUCCAAAUACGUACUAGAUGGUAUUCAAAAUUAUUUAGGAUGUGGUGUUGUAAUAAUGCACAUUAAUAAACAUGCAGGAGCAAAUUGCAGGCUAAAAAAUUUUAAUAUUUUAAAAUAUGAAUAAAAUACUUAAAGACAUGUUAGUAGGAGUAAUAUUAGGAGAUGCGCAUAUCGGUAGAGUAGGAUUAGAUAAAGCUUUUAUUACUUUUGAACAAUCAAGUAAAAAAAUGGCGAAAUCACUUACAUACCUUAGUUAAAGAGGGAGGUCUACCUUUAAUUGAAGAUUCUAUUAAAGAAUAUUCAAGAGAAGAUUCAAGAUAUAAUGUUAGACAGGCGCUGGCGCGAUAUUGUAUUUCAGAACUCAAUCGCUUGAAGCUUUAAGACCUUUAGUUGUUUUUAGACGAAUCAGGUAAAAAAAUAAUACCUUCUAACAUCGCGGAACAUUUAACAGAAAGAAGUUUAGCUUUUUGGAUAAUGGAUGACGGUCAACGAGUCAAAAGAGGGGGUGUAACUUUAUAUCGCGCCUACAGAUAGUUUUAAAUCUCGCUGGCGCCAGCGAUGUUCUUAGAGAAGCUCUUAAACUAAAUUUUAAUUUAACAACUACUCGAAAAAGGGUUCACGCCAUUUAUGAAAGAAUCUAUAUUAAUAAAGGAACAUUAGAUCCAUUAAAACCUAAUUUAAUCUCACAUCUCGUAACUCAUGAUACAAUGCUUUAUAAAAUAAAUGCUGCUAGAAGUAGAAUUUAAACAAGAUACUUCUGAUUUUGUAAGUGAAUCAGAGUCAGAAAUGGAUAUAGACAUUUUUGCCUUGUAAAUUAUAAAUAUAUAAAUAUUCUGACAUCGGGGUAUUUUAAUAGAAAUAUUAACUUAGAAGUUGGCUAUUUGCUGGAACAUCCUUAGAGCUUUCAAUACUAAUUAUUUAACUUAAGUGUUAGAUAAAAAGUAAAAAUUUGAAAUAUUGGACAAUCAGCAGGUAAGUUACUAGUUUUAGGUGUAAGCAACUCUAGAACUUUUAACACUUCAACGAUCACACGUCAACAUCCAGAGCUUUACCAACGUUCUCUUGGUACUGGAUGAAUAUAUGAUCUAAACUUACCUGAAAGGUUAAGAGUAUUAGUUUUUAUUUAAUUUAGACUAAUAUUGCAUAAAAUAUAUAAAUAUUCGGAUGAAUUUUUUAUUCAGGCCAGCCGAAGGUGCCGAAGGUGCCGAAGGUCAGGAGAAUCAUUAUUCAUCCGAAUAUUAUUAUAUGAUAUUUUAUGAUAAUGCGAUGUCGACUCAACCUAUCCUCCAGGGUGCAGAUGUUUGGAAGGGUUCGGCUGUUCGCCGAUUAAAAGGUUACGCGAGUUGGGUUUAAUACGACGUAAAAAUUAUAAAAAUUCAUUAAAAAUUUAUAAGUUAAACAUUUAUAAAUUUCUUUUUAAAAAAUUUGAUAAAAAAUGAAAACAAAUAAAUCAUUAGUAGAAAGAAUAAGAGGAAAAGGUUCUCUU
rnacentral:rRNA from 1 species